ACAGAAGCCGCUGAAUUAGAGUUUGACAGCGUAAGACUUCCGCCGGACAUAGGACAAAGAGG
rnacentral:ncRNA from 1 species